GACGAACGCUGGCGGCGUGCCUAAUACAUGCAAGUAGAACGCUGAAGGAGGAGCUUGCUUCUCUGGAUGAGUUGCGAACGGGUGAGUAACGCGUAGGUAACCUGCCUGGUAGCGGGGGAUAACUAUUGGAAACGAUAGCUAAUACCGCAUAAGAGUAGAUGUUGCAUGACAUUUGCUUAAAAGGUGCAAUUGCAUCACUACCAGAUGGACCUGCGUUGUAUUAGCUAGUUGGUGAGGUAACGGCUCACCAAGGCAACGAUACAUAGCCGACCUGAGAGGGUGAUCGGCCACACUGGGACUGAGACACGGCCCAGACUCCUACGGGAGGCAGCAGUAGGGAAUCUUCGGCAAUGGACGGAAGUCUGACCGAGCAACGCCGCGUGAGUGAAGAAGGUUUUCGGAUCGUAAAGCUCUGUUGUAAGAGAAGAACGAGUGUGAGAGUGGAAAGUUCACACUGGA
rnacentral:rRNA from 1 species